rnacentral:rRNA from 1 species
CGAAAGUAUGGGUAGCAAACGGGAUUAGAUACCCCGGUAGUCCAUACCGUAAACGAUGGGUGCUAGUUGUUAAGAGGUUUCCGCCUCCUAGUGACGUAGCAAACGCAUUAAGCACCCCGCCUGAGGAGUACGGCCGCAAGGCUAAAACUUAAAGGAAUUGACGGGGACCCGCACAAGCGGUGGAGCAUGUGGUUUAAUUCGAAGAUACGCGAAAAACCUUACCAGGUCUUGACAUACCAAUGAUCGCUUUUGUAAUGAAAGCUUUUCUUCGGAACAUUGGAUACAGGUGGUGCAUGGUCGUCGUCAGCUCGUGUCGUGAGAUGUUGGGUUAAGUCCCGCAACGAGCGCAACCCUUGUUAUUAGUUGCCAGCAUUUAGUUGGGCACUCUAAUGAGACUGCCGGUGAUAAACCGGAGGAAGGUGGGGACGACGUCAGAUCAUCAUGCCCCUUAUGACCUGGGCAACACACGUGCUACAAUGGGAAGUACAACGAGUCGCAAACCGGCGACGGUAAGCUAAUCUCUUAAAACUUCUCUCAGUUCGGACUGGAGUCUGCAACUCGACUCCACGAAGGCGGAAUCGCUAGUAAUCGCGAAUCAGCAUGUCGCGGUGAAUACGUUCCCGGGUCUUGUACACACCGCCCGUCAAAUCAUGGGAGUCGGAAGUACCCAAAGUCGCUUGGCUAACUUUUAGAGGCCGGUGCCUAAGGUAAAAUCGAUGACUGGGAUUAAGUCGUAACAAGGUAGCCGUAGGAGAACCUGCGGCUGGAUCACCUCCUUUCUAAGGA